GGAGAAGAGAAGCAGCAAAAUACUGGGUGAGGAAACAGCUCUGACAAAGCAUGUGGAAAAGAGAGAGAUGUCAAGAUGCAUUAUAACGGCAGCCUCUUGAAG